AAACUGGAGAGUUUGAUCCUGGCUCAGAACGAACGCUGGCGGCGUGCUUAACACAUGCAAGUCGAACGCGAAAUUUUUCUUCGGAAAGAGAGUAGAGUGGCGCACGGGUGAGUAACGCGUAAGUUAUCUACCUCGGCAUCUGGAAUAACUCACCGAAAGGUGUGCUAAUACCGGAUACGUUGAGUAAUCAAGAAAGGUGGCCUCUGAAUAUGCUACUGUGCUGAGAUGAGCUUGCGUACCAUUAGCUAGUUGGUAG
rnacentral:ncRNA from 1 species